UACGUAGGGUGCUAGCGUUGUCCGGAUUUAUUGGGCGUAAAGAGCUCGUAGGCGGUCUGUCGCGUCUGCUGUGAAAACUCGGGGCUUAACCCCGGGCCUGCAGUGGGUACGGGCAGACUAGAGUGCGGUAGGGGAGACUGGAAUUCCUGGUGUAGCGGUGAAAUGCGCAGAUAUCAGGAGGAACACCGGUGGCGAAGGCGGGUCUCUGGGCAGUAACUGACGCUGAGGAGCGAAAGCGUGGGGAGCGAACAGG
rnacentral:rRNA from 1 species